rnacentral:rRNA from 1 species
UGGGGAAUUUUGGACAAUGGGCGCAAGCCUGAUCCAGCCAUGCCGCGUGCGGGAAGAAGGCCUUCGGGUUGUAAACCGCUUUUGUCAGGGAAGAAAUCUUCUGAGUUAAUACCUCGGGAGGAUGACGGUACCUGAAGAAUAAGCACCGGCUAACUACGUGCCAGCAGCCGCGGUAAUACGUAGGGUGCAAGCGUUAAUUGGAAUUACUGGGCGUAAAGCGUGCGCAGGCGGUUCUGUAAGACAGAGGUGAAAUCCCCGGGCUCAACCUGGGAACUGCCUUUGUGACUGCAAGGCUUGAGUGCGGCAGAGGGGGAUGGAAUUCCGCGUGUAGCAGUGAAAUGCGUAGAUAUGCGGAGGAACACCGAUGGCGAAGGCAAUCCCCUGGGCCUGCACUGACGCUCAUGCACGAAAGCGUGGGGAGCAAACAGGAUUAGAUACCCUGGUAGUCCACGCCCUAAACGAUGUCAACUGGUUGUUGGGAAGGUUCCUUCUCAGUAACGUAGCUAACGCGUGAAGUUGACCGCCUGGGGAGUACGGCCGCAAGGUUG